GACGAACGCUGGCGGCGUGCCUAAUACAUGCAAGUCGAACGCACUCUCGUUUAGAUUGAAGGAGCUUGCUCCUGAUUGAUAAACAUUUGAGUGAGUGGCGGACGGGUGAGUAACACGUGGGUAACCUGCCCUAAAGUGGGGGAUAACAUUUGGAAACAGAUGCUAAUACCGCAUAAAACCUAAACACCGCAUGGUGUAGGGUUGAAAGAUGGUUUCGGCUAUCACUUUAGGAUGGACCCGCGGUGCAUUAGUUAGUUGUGAGGUAAAGGCUCACCAAGACCGUGAUGCAUAGCCGACCUGAGAGGGUAAUCGGCCACACUGGGACUGAGACACGGCCCAGACUCCUACGGGAGGCAGCAGUAGGGAAUCUUCCACAAUGGACGAAAGUCUGAUGGAGCAACGCCGCGUGAGUGAAGAAGGUUUUCGGAUCGUAAAACUCUGUUGUUGGAGAAGAAUGUAUCUGAUAGUAACUGAUCAGGUAGUGACGGUAU
rnacentral:rRNA from 1 species